UCCGAUAUGGUGUAGUGGCUAACAUUAUCGCCUCUCAAUUUGGUCGCGAUAGCCCGGGGUUCAAUUCCCCGUGUCGGAA
rnacentral:tRNA from 1 species